rnacentral:tRNA from 1 species
GGGCCAUUAGUAUAGCGGUAGUAUGGAUGUUUCGGGUACAUCAGAUAUGGGUUCGACUCCCGUAUGGCCCC